CAAGUCGAGCGGAUCGAUGGGAGCUUGCUCCCUGAGAUCAGCGGCGGACGGGUGAGUAACACGUGGGUAACCUGCCUGUAAGACUGGGAUAACUCCGGGAAACCGGGGCUAAUACCGGAUAACACCUACCCCCGCAUGGGGGAAGGUUGAAAGGUGGCUUCGGCUAUCACUUACAGAUGGACCCGCGGCGCAUUAGCUAGUUGGUGAGGUAAUGGCUCACCAAGGCGACGAUGCGUAGCCGACCUGAGAGGGUGAUCGGCCACACUGGGACUGAGACACGGCCCAGACUCCUACGGGAGGCAGCAGUAGGGAAUCUUCCGCAAUGGACGAAAGUCUGACGGAGCAACGCCGCGUGAGUGAAGAAGGUUUUCGGAUCGUAAAACUCUGUUGUUAGGGAAAAACAAGUGCCGUUCGAAUAGGGCGGCGCCUUGACGGUACCUAACCAGAAAGCCACGGCUAACUACGUGCCAGCAGCCGCGGUAAUACGUAGGUGGCAAGCGUUGUCCGGAAUUAUUGGGCGUAAAGCGCGCGCAGGUGGUUUCUUAAGUCUGAUGUGAAAGCCCACGGCUCACCCGUGGAGGGUCAUUGAAAACUGGGGAACUUGAUUGCAGAAGAGAAAGGUGAAAUUCCAAGUGUAGCGGUGAAAUGCGUAGAUAUUUGGAGAAACACCAGUGGCAAAGGCAACUUUCUGGUCUGUAACUGACACUGAGGCGCGAAGGCGUGAGGAGCAUACAGGAUUAGAUACCCUGGUAGUCCACGCCGUACACGAUGAGUGCUGAGUGUUACAGGGUUUCCGCCCUUUAGUGCUGCAGCUAAGGCAUUAAGCUCUCCGCCUGGGGAGUACGGUCCCAAGACUGAAACUGACCCGAAUUGACUGGAGCCCGGACA
rnacentral:rRNA from 1 species